rnacentral:tRNA from 1 species
GGUGGCUCAGUGGUAGAGGGCUUGCCUUGCAUGCAAGAGGCCCUGGGUUCGAUUCCUCAGCACCA